rnacentral:rRNA from 1 species
GAUGAACGCUGGCGGCGUGCCUAAUACAUGCAAGUCGAGCGAACGGGCGAGAAGCUUGCUUCUCUGAUGUUAGCGGCGGACGGGUGAGUAACACGUGGAUAACCUACCUAUAAGACUGGGAUAACUUCGGGAAACCGGAGCCAAUACCGGAUAAUAUUUUGAACCGCAUGGUUCAAAAGUGAAAGACGGUCUUGCUGUCACUUAUAGAUGGAUCCGCGCUGCAUUAGCUAGUUGGUAAGGUAACGGCUUACCAAGGCAACGAUGCAUAGCCGACCUGAGAGGGUGAUCGGCCACACUGGAACUGAGACACGGUCCAGACUCCUACGGGAGGCAGCAGUAGGGAAUCUUCCGCAAUGGGCGAAAGCCUGACGGAGCAACGCCGCGUGAGUGAUGAAGGUCUUCGGAUCGUAAAACUCUGUUAUUAGGGAAGAACAUAUGUGUAAGUAACUGUGCACAUCUUGACGGUACCUAAUCAGAAAGCCACGGCUAACUACGU